rnacentral:rRNA from 1 species
GACAGAGGAUGCAAGCGUUAUCCGGAAUGAUUGGGCCUAAAGCAUCCGUAGCCGGUUCUACAAGCCUUCCGUUAAAUCCACCUGCUUAACAGAUGGGCUGCGGAAGAUACUAUGGAGCUAGGAGGCGGGAGAGGCAAGCGGUACUCGAUGGGUAGGGGUAAAAUCCGUUGAUCCAUUGAAGACCACCAGUGGCGAAGGCGGCUUGCCAGAACGCGCUCGACGGUGAGGGAUGAAAGCUGGGGGAGCAAACCGG